AACGAACGCUGGCGGCGUGGAUAAGACAUGCAAGUCGAACGCUGAUCCAAGGGUAGCAAUAUUCUUGGAUCGGAGUGGCGCAAGGGUGCGUAACACGUGGGCAAUCUGCCGCGAAGCCUGGAAUAACCUGCUGAAAAGUGGGCUAAUGCCGGAUGUGACUGCUGAGGGGAUUCCUUUGGCACUCAAAGUUGGGGACCGAAAGGCCUGACGCUUUGCGAUGAGCCCGCGGCCUAUCAGCUAGUUGGCGAGG
rnacentral:rRNA from 1 species